rnacentral:rRNA from 1 species
UACGUAGGGGGCAAGCGUUGUCCGGAAUCAUUGGGCGUAAAGAGCGUGUAGGCGGUCCGGUCAGUCGGUUGUGAAAGUCCAGGGCUCAACCCUGGAAGGCCGGUGGAUACUGUCGGACUAGAGUGCGGAAGAGGCGAGUGGAAUUCCUGGUGUAGCGGUGGAAUGCGCAGAUAUCAGGAGGAACACCUAUAGCGAAGGCAGCUCGCUGGGACGUAACUGACGCUAAGGCGCGAAAGCGUGGGGAGCGAACAGG